GAGGGCAUAGCUCAGUGGUAGAGCACAUGCUUAGCAUGCAUAAGGUCCUGAGUUCAGUCCCGAGUAUCUCCA
rnacentral:tRNA from 1 species